rnacentral:rRNA from 1 species
CCAAUAGCGUAUAUUAAAGUUGUUGCAGUUAAAAAGCUCGUAGUUGAAUUUCGAGAUCAAAUUGUUGGUCGUGCCUUGGUACGUACUGGCAUUAUUGGUUUCUCCCUUCUGAAGAACCAUGAUGUCAUUAAUUUGGUGUCAUGGGGAAUCAGGACUGUUACUUUGAAAAAAUUAGAGUGUUUAAAGCAGGCUCACGCUUGAAUACAUUAGCAUGGAAUAAUGAAAUAGGACGUUUGAUUCUAUUUUGUUGGUUUCUAGGAUCGACGUAAUGAUUAAUAGGGAUAGUGGGGGGCAUUAGUAUUCAGUUGUCAGAGGUGAAAUUCUUGGAUUUAUUGAAGACUAACUACUGCGAAAGCAUUUGCCAAGGAUGUUUUCAUUAAUCAAGAACGAAAGUUAGGGGAUCGAAGACGAUCAGAUACCGUCGUAGUCUUAACCAUAAACUAUGCCGACUAGGGAUCGGAUGAUGUUAAUUUUUUAAUGACUCACUCGGCGCCUUACG